rnacentral:rRNA from 1 species
AGGAGAGUUUGAUCCUGGCUCAGGAUGAACGCUAGCGGCAGGCUUAACACAUGCAAGUCGAGGGGCAGCGCGGAGUAGCAAUACUUUGGCGGCGACCGGCGCACGGGUGCGUAACGCGUAUGCAACCUGCCCGUAACAGGGGUAUAACGGAGGGAAACUUCCACUAAUCCCCCAUAUUGUCAGAGAUUCGCAUGUUUCUCUGACGAAAGGUUAUUCUGGUUACGGAUGGGCAUGCGUGACAUUAGGUAGUUGGCGGGGCAACGGCCCACCAAGCCGACGAUGUCUAGGGGAGCUGAGAGGCUUAUCCCCCACACUGGUACUGAGACACGGACCAGACUCCUACGGGAGGCAGCAGUGAGGAAUAUUGGUCAAUGGGAGGAAUCCUGAACCAGCCAUGCCGCGUGGAGGAAGAAGGUCCUAUGGGUUGUAAACUCCUUUUGUUCCGGAGUAAUAAGUCCCUUGCGAGGGACGAUGAGAGUACGGGACGAAUAAGCAUCGGCUAACUCCGUGCCAGCAGCCGCGGUAAUACGGAGGAUGCAAGCGUUAUCCGGAUUUAUUGGGUUUAAAGGGUGCGCAGGCGGCGCGUUAAGUCAGCGGUGAAAUCUCCCGGCUCAACCGGGGAACUGCCGUUGAUACUGGCGUGCUCGAGUACGGACGGCGCCGGCGGAAUGUGUCAUGUAGCGGUGAAAUGCUUAGAUAUGCCACAGAACACCGAUCGCGAAGGCAGCUGGCGAGGCCGGUACUGACGCUCAGGCACGAAAGCGUGGGGAUCAAACAGGAUUAGAUACCCUGGUAGUCCCCU